AACAAACAAACAAACAAAAAAAAAACCUAUUAAAUUGGAACAUUUAUACUAAUGUUUUCUUUCAUCAUGCAUUUUCCUUUCAACACUGGAAAGUGUUAUUUUUUAUUCAUAAAAGGGACCAAUAAGUUUAAGGUAUACAACGUGUAUUGCAGACAAAUUAAACAAUAUGUAGCACCACCUAAAUCCUCAGAAAUUACUAACAGCAUACAAAAGACUCAAAAAUAAUUAUCUCUGGGGCCCUUACCCAACACCUCAAGGAAGAUGUCUGUUACCAGAAUACACAGAUGAGAUGAACAGUGGUCAUGUGAAUCACCUCUGUGCUAAUAAUGACAACUUCUAGCCUGUUCUCAUGACUCUGAGCACAUGGAAGACCAAACUGAUUUUUUUUUGGGGGGGGGGUAACUAUCAGCUAAGCUUCCAUUAACUAGGUGUGCAGUUGGCAAUAUCAGACGUUCAAGCUGCUAUAUAGAUCAGCUUUUGACAUUCAAUCAGAAACUCAGUCAACACCUGCUUGCUUAUAGUUCUGCUUAAGUGCAAAAAACCCCUGAAACAUAUGUCAUUGAAAGUCACAUGACCAGUUUGGCUUGUGGCAGCAAAGAUAAAACUCAGCAGAGCCUAUCUUGAAGAAACCCAGAUGAUGCUGUGAACAUUUUUUCUCCAACAGGCAUUCCAAGCUGGAUGAAUGUGUCUCUGCUAAGGUUUUGAAAAAUGACUCUUCUGAGGACAAGAGCAAUACAAUAGCAUAUGGGUGAAUAACUUGAUUCUUUCAUUUAAUCACACAAACAUCUGGUUCAUUUGCCAAGGGCUUUUAAUGAACUUAAUAAACAGAGUAUCUCUUA